GUCUCGACUGUUGUGGUGUGCUGAAGCGAGUGCUGUAACGGCCUGUAGCGCAACAGGUUAGCUGGUGGUUAACGGCUCUAAACCUGUGGGGUCGCCUGGUCGGCGUUCUGUAUGUGCACACGACAUUGCUCACGAUCCGUGUGAGCGAAUUGUUUACUGUGCGGGCUGUCUCACUCUUGCCUGUGGGCUGAUUAUGUGUGUGCGCUGUGGAACCGUUGGGUGAUCUGCUGCCUCGGCGGGGGUUUGAACGAAGGCUUGGUCCGUCUGCCUCGUGCCCCCCCC